rnacentral:lncRNA from 1 species
UAGGGCCACACCCGCAGCAUAUGGAGGUUCCCAGGCUAGGCGUCUAUCGGAGCUGUAUACCAGAGCCAUAGCAACGCCAGAUCCGAGCCGCGUCUGCAACCCACACCACAGCUCAUGGCAAUGCCGGAUCCUUAACCCACUGAGCCAGGCCAGGGAUCGAACCUGCCACCUCAUGGUUCCUAGUUGGAUUCUUUAACCACUGAGCCAUGACAGGAACUUCUGGGCUUGAAGGAAGUGGCCAGGGGUCCACCCAAUCUCAUUCUGAACAAGCCAUUCCCUAAGAGGGGGCUUUGCAAGACUCUGAACUCCCAAGAGCUGGAGGACCAGUCUCUUAAAGCCAAUCACCAGGGCCCUGCUGCACUAGUGACUUAAAAAAAUGCUGCUUACAGUCAGAACGACAGCCUAGGAAACAUCAGACACUUGCAGUGGUUAAGGAUAAGAUUAAGGGGUGGGCUUCGCAGCCACCACCCUCUACAGCCCGAGUCCAGAGCACUGGUACCUGCUGCUGCUGCUGCACGUGGGCCAGAUCGGCCGCCCCAACGUCCACGGCCGGCGUCUCUCCGUUGGACCGCCCUUCCCGAAGACCGCCACACUCUAAUAAGUGGUUGCCGCCGCUCGACCCAUUCUGGAUGGCUGAACCAUUACUUUUUGUCUCAGUCCCAGAUUCUUGCAUCAUGACUCAAAAACCUGAUAGAAGGAUUUUCAGGAGGGAGUGGGGGAGAAAGAAAAAGCAGCUGUUAACACAGUUGUUGUACAUAAGGAGAAGGGCCCUGCCUUCAAUGUUGCCAAAAUCUGUAAACAGUUGUCGUUUUCUUUCACUCAACUUAAUCCCUUGUUAGUGGUCCGAUCCCCUAGAUUUUGAGUAUAGAACUGUUGGUCCAAAUACAAGUUUUCAUAGAAUUGCUUGUUUGUGUGUAUUUUCUUUUUCCCCUUAGGAAAAAAAAGCAACAUUUUUUCAGGUGAACCUGGAAUUUAUGGUCAAAUUUCUGAGAUUAUAUGGUUUGCUCGAAAACUCUAAGUCAUUUUAUACAGCAUAUCAGUUAGUACGUGCGGACUCUGUGUUGUGUGUUAACACUCCUAGAAAAAUACCCUCCAAAUUCGGUCUUCAGGAGAUGAUACCCAUUACCAGGAGGCCCCUGAAGUAAUUCCUGCUGAAAACCUUUACAGUCAAAACCCCAAAAGCGGUUUUUAAAAAUUCACACUCCUUAGAAUCAUUCAAGUAUUGAAACUCUUCAAAAUUGUCCACUCCAAUGAUAAGCCACUUUAAGAAAGGAAAAAAAAAAAAAAAAAAAAAAAGUUACCACUUUUUAGAACCUGAACAAAUGAUCUUUGUUGUAUGGUUAAAGUUGUCCCAAGAAGCCCCAUUUCAAGUUUAGGUGUUUCUCCUGCUGGCUUAUUAGCCUCUAGUUUGGUUUAAUGCCUGAAAGGUCUAGGUCUUUUUAUGUUUAUUUUGGAGAAAAUGUUGCCUAGGCAGAUCAAAGUUCUAAAUUUGAAAGUACUAAACAUCAAGUUAAAAAAAAAGAUACACACACACCCCACAUACAUAUAUACACACAAGUAUACACAUACGCACAUAUAUAUACAAACAUGUAUGUAUACACACACACUCACAGAAUAGUUGCCUCUUAUCCACAAGGGAUAUAUUCUAAGACUCCCAGUGGAUGCCUGAAACUGCAUUUAGUAUUAAACCCUAUACAUACUGUGUUUCCUCUUAUACAUGCAUACCUAAGCUAAGUUUAAUUUCUAAAUUAGGACCAGUAAGAGAUGAACCCCAGUCAAAAUAAGAGAGCAAAUAUAACAAUCUACUGCAAUGAGAGUUACGUGAAUGUGGUCUCUCUUUCAAAAUAAUCUUACUGUAUGUACUUAAUUCCUUUUUCACCUUAAUAAGCACUCAUCACACCUAUGGCUGGAACUUUUGCACUUUGAGUUACAACAGGAAAACUAGCACGAAUUUAUUUUUUUCUUCAUCGCAGUAUUGUGGAUAGAAUCUCGGCAGAGAUCUCAGCAACUUCACAACAUGAUUUUUUCCCCCUUCUCUUAUGAAGUUGAGAACUUUCACCUUUUCACUUCAAGGAAGCCCGUUCUGGCUUCCCUUUGGCACAUCUGACUUGCCAACAUCACUCCUCUUGCACAUUGGGGCCCUUAUUCAGUAAAAUAGGUGUUAUUUGAACACAAGCCCUAUGACACCAGGUCAUACCCGAGAUGACUGCAAAGUGACAAAUGGGCGGGAAAUGCUGGACAAAGAGACAAUUACCAUCCAGGCAGGUUGCAGCAGGACAGGGCAAGAUUUCAUCUCGUGGAAUUUAAAACUUAUUAACUGUUCCUAGAACUUCUCAUUUCAUAUUUUCGGACCGAGGGUAAAAAACCUCAGAGAGUGAAGCUUUGGAUACGGGGGAACUACUGCUGUCCAGGGCGAGUCACUAGAAAAUAGGACCUUUGUGUAAAUGUAUUUCACACUCUCUCUCUCAGUACAAAACCAUUAUCCUGGAGAGUCAGUUCUGGCUCUCGGUAAAGAUGGCCAACUGGGACAAAGAACAGAUAACAUCUGCUAAUAUCAAUUGGUACGACUUCCUAAUCACCGGUGCUGUACCAGGCCCUCCUAGUGAUGUAUACAUAACCUCCCAUUUAGUUUUCAUGACAGUUCCUAGCCCCAGUUUACAGAUGAGAAACCUAAGGCUCCAUGAGACUUAUUUUUAACUUGCCCGGCAUGUAUCAUCGCUACUAAUGAUGGAACCGAGAAUGGACAAGUUCGAACUGACGUGAGAAUUCCUAGCUAUGUGUUUUCUUAAAGUUGAGGAGCAGUGGGGGCCGAACAACGAAAAUGCCAGGGUCACUCCAAGUUCAUAAGCCAAAAAAAAACAACAGUGACUAACAGAGGAUGACAAUUCAAACAUACAAGAGGAAAAAUGCCUGAAUAAUUAGGACUUAAGUGUGAAAUACCAAUCCUAGAUAAAAGGACAGAAAACUUAGACAAAUUGAUUGAAAUACAUGUGUACAACCAAUGCUAUAGAUUUCUCCCCCCACAUGUGAAAUGUGUGACAACAGGGAAAUUCAAAAACUGGGCAUCCUUACAAACCAUGACAUUUUGAAUUGAUAAGCAAGGAGGUCCUGCUGCAUAGCACAGGGAACCAUACCCACUUUCUUGGGGUAGAACAUGACAGAAGACAAUAUGAGACAAAGAAUGCAGAUGGAUGUAUGAUUGGGUCACUAUGCUUUACAGCAGAAAUUGGCACAACACUGUAAAUCAACUAUACUCUAAUAAAAAUAAAAUAAACUGGGCAUUUUUACAGGAGGUUGCCCUCUUGCUAGAAAUUGGUUGAAGUCUCUUUUCUAUAAAUUUAUACAUUUAAAACAAAUGGAAAAAUUAAAAGCAUAAAUAUUCUACUCUGCCUUUAUUUCCUUUCAGUGCCUAGUACGAUCCAACCGGACUACCAACUUCAUAAAACCAGAAGAUGUACAUUGUUUAAAGUUAAUCCAAUUUUGAACUGGAUUAAGAAUGGCAUUUUUUGUUAACAGGUGGGAAACAAACCCAGACACAACAGCUGAUUGACUCUUGUCUCUUUGGAUCAUAUAUUCUAGUAAUUAUAGUCGUUUAACACUUGCACUCAUAUUCUUAUAGUCUGCAGAGCGAA